rnacentral:rRNA from 1 species
GACGAACGCUGGCGGCGUGCUUAACACAUGCAAGUCGAACGGAAAGGCCCUGCUUUUGUGGGGUGCUCGAGUGGCGAACGGGUGAGUAACACGUGAGUAACUUGCCCUUGACUUUGGGAUAACUUCAGGAAACUGGGGCUAAUACCGGAUAGGAGCUCCUGCUGCAUGGUGGGGGUUGGAAAGUUUCGGCGGUUGGGGAUGGACUCGCGGCUUAUCAGCUUGUUGGUGGGGUAGUGGCUUACCAAGGCUUUGACGGGUAGCCGGCCUGAGAGGGUGACCGGCCACAUUGGGACUGAGAUACGGCCCAGACUCCUACGGGAGGCAGCAGUGGGGAAUAUUGCACAAUGGGCGGAAGCCUGAUGCAGCAACGCCGCGUGCGGGAUGACAGCCUUCGGGUUGUAAACCGCUUUCGCCUGUGACGAAGCGUGAGUGACGGUAAUGGGUAAAGAAGCACCGGCUAACUACGUG